UUCAGCGUGUGUUCUCCCUGUCCGAGAGGAUCGGGUAAACCGUUGAACGCCCUUCGCGACUGGGAUAGGGGCUUGGAAUUGUUGCCCUUGAACGAGGAAUUCCUAGUAAGCGCGAGUCAUCACCUCGUGCUGAUUACGUCCCUGCCCUUUGUACUCAUCGCCCGUCGCUAGUACCGAUUGAACGAUUCAGUGAGGUCUUUGGACUGUCGCUCGGAAACGUCCUCGAGGGCCGAUCCGACGCGACGGGAAGACG
rnacentral:rRNA from 1 species